CACGUGGGUAACCUGCCCAAGAGAUCGGGAUAACACCUGGAAACAGAUGCUAAUACCGGAUAACAACAGAUGGUGCCUAUCAACUGUUUAAAAGAUGGUUCUGCUAUCACUCUUGGAUGGACCUGCGGUGCAUUAGCUAGUUGGUAGGGUAACGGCCUACAAAGGCGAUGAUGCAUAGCCGAGUUGAGAGACUGAUCGGCCACAUUGGGACUGAGACACGGCCCAAACUCCUACGGGAGGCAGCAGGC
rnacentral:rRNA from 1 species